CCCUGGUUAGCUCAGUUGGGAGAGCGCUUCACUGGAAAUGGAGAGGUCCCGGGUUCGAUACCCGGACCAGGCG
rnacentral:tRNA from 1 species